AGUUUACAUGUUAAUCUCUUGGCAUGGCGACCCAAGUAGAGAAAAUUAAGUCUUAAUACUGAGACGCUGCAGAAGGGCAGAGUCACAGAAUCAACAGGUGCUUUUAUAAUACACACAGUUUAAUGUCAGCAUGAGGCUGCAUACUUGGAAUGUAGGAUUUAAAGACUGCCACAUCUAUAGACUGUCUCAUUCAGUUGGAGCCAAAAUAACAGGUCAAGCUAGCUGGUGCUAUGUGCUAGCAAGUUUUUCUUCUGCUCUAGCACACAAUGAGGCAUCUAUGUAUGUUGUGUCUAUGGUAGUGAGGGGAAGAGUAUCAGGAGCUAAAUUGUAAACAGAAGAUCCUGCCAAACCUGGGUCCUGCAAUCUCUGAAUUGUAGAACAAUUACAAUCUGACUGUUUUGAGGCAAAACCUCUUAUCCUUGAGAAAUUUAAGUAAAAAAUUAUAAAGAUCAAUCCUGAUCUGUGAAGCUAGUGUGGUGUAUCCUCUGGGAUGUAUGAAAGAAAUUGCAUGAAAACUAAUUUCUGUGAUAUCUCAGCUUGGGGCAAACUCAUCUGUCGAGCAUCAACAUCAAAUAUAAGAAAAAAAAAGUGUGUUUUCAAGAGUUUCUUUUUUCUUGUAAUUAUCUAAACUUUCCAAUAUGUUGAUCACAUUUAAUAGAAACCACUGCCUGAAGUGAUUCACCUCAUCAUUGAAUUUGCAGCACUUACCCUAAACUUCACUGUCACGAUUUUCAUCAGCUUACAUAAAAUAAGACUUUGAAGUCAGUGUUGAUUUUAUGGAUCUGACAUAGGCGCACACAUCUCAUUAAAAAAGCAUCAUCUUAUUUGAUCUGCGCACUUGAAAUGACUAAGAUGAAAAAUAUUCUCCUCUGCCACUCUGAAGGCAGAAGAAGCGCUCCCCGUUGACCCUGAUUAAACUGAUUCAGCAUUACAUAAAUAACACGCCAGGCAUGACAGCCUGUUAAUCACAUGUCAAGCACUGCAGGUACCUGGCUUUUUUACAAGUCGCCCUGUGGCUGCGUUUGUCUGCGUAUGUAUGACACGGCUGUCCUAUUUAUGGCUGUUUUGUCAUGCUGCCGGUUAUAUAUCCCAACAGCAGUUAUUGUCUGAAAGCUGGGUGUUUCCCUAGAGCCCAGGGACAUAAGAAAAGGUCAAAUGGAUGAUAGAAAACUAUGUCUUAUACGUUGACGGUGGCAUUUCUGAGGGAUCAAAUCAAAACUUGGACUUGGAUUCAAGGACAGCUGCCCUUUUAUAAAACUAUGAUCAUGUUAACUCCUGUAUUUGCCAGCUCACGGGUGGAUUUUGUAACUCAACACAAGA